AUUGAACGCUGGCGGCAGGCCUAACACAUGCAAGUCGAACGAGUGGCGGACGGGUGAGUAAUGUCUGGGAAACUGCGCGAUGGAGGGGGAUAACUACUGGAAACGGUAGCUAAUACCGCAUACCAUCGGAUGUGCCCAGAGGGGAGUAGCUAGUAGGUGGGGUAACGGCUUACCUAGGCGACGAUCCCUAGCUGGUCUGCUAGGAUGACAAGCCACACGGGAACUGAGACACGGUCCAUACUCCUACGGGAGGGAGCAGGGGGGAAUAUUGCACAAUGGGCGCAAGCCUGAUGCAGCCAUGCCGCGGGUAUGAAGAAGGCCUUCGGGUUGUAAAGUACUUGCAGCGAGGAGGCCUUACUCGCAGAAGAAGCACCGGCUAACUCCGGGCCAGCAGCCGCGGUAAUUC
rnacentral:rRNA from 1 species